CAAACUGGAGGUUAGGUACCAGUAAAUUUGACAACUUGGUCUGUUCUAUUACGUAGCAUGAUCCCAUUCAAUUGCCAAAUUUAAAAAGAGGGAUUGUGGGAUAGUGGAGCAGUGACUCUCUGAUGAAGAAGCACUUGCAUCUGUCCUUGGACAUGAGUACACUGUUGUGGGAUAAACAGCUCUAGAAAAAAAUAUAUGCAGAUUUUCAACAUUCUGCAUUAUUUUUGAUUCUCAAAAUAUAAGAACACGCAAAAAAACUGACAAUGCUCAGAAUAUCAGACCUCCAGCAUCCGCAGUUUUUGUUUUAUUUUUGUUUGAAGCUGAUGCUUGGAGCAUAAUGCUGCCUCAUUCCAACAGAUAGUUUACUCAAAUUACAAAGUUUUCAUCAAAAUACUGCAAGAACUGUACAUCAACUAAAUGCUUUUUGGAGAGCCAACAUGCAAUAAACAUAAGA